UAACUUGCUUUCGAAUGCAAAUGAUCAAAAAUGUUCGUUAUUUAAUUAAUCAGAAUAUGUGGGGCCCAUGGUGGUUUUUGGGACAUUUGAAUGGACAUUCAUACUCACCAGCCAUGUCAAUUUGAAUUAUGUUUCUGAACACGUUAUAGGCCGUUAUAUGCAAAUAGUACUGUAUUGUAUCAGUGGCGAAUAUUUGGGGAUUUCAAUAAGGCACCUGGGACAACUACGGGGGUCCUAAUUAGUGAUGUGCAUUCCAGUUCUUUUAGGUGAACUGAAUCUGUAGAAUCAGUUCACUAAAAAGAUUCGU